rnacentral:lncRNA from 1 species
CAGUCAGGCUCCUGGCAGGAGUCCUGCUCUCAGCUGGUUCCAGGCUCUAGCCAGGGGCUUGACUGCAAGCUGCUCAUCGAGAAGGAUGGAUGCUCCUGAGACCUGCAGUAGACAGAGCCACAAGACACACAGCAUUUGCAGGGAUGUUGUGGGAAUCCCCACAAUCAUACUCACCUGUUCCUGUUAUCUCUGCUUGGAAUUAUUUAAUCCUGCUUUGGCGUUAAGACUGAUUAUUUCUGAGGCAAGAUUAGAGUCCGACUUCAGUUGCAGCAAGGGUGAUUCACUUCAGCCUUCAGAAACUGACAGAAACCUGAGACUUCUGUCGUUCCCGUGAAGAACUGUGAAGAACUUCUAUAUCACGAAUCUGGUCAGGAGGGAGAUUUGUUCCUUGUGGAUAUCUAGAAGUAUUAUACUGAUGACAUUAGAAAUGACUCUGGAAUAAUAAUCUGAAGGAUUACACAUUUGAGAAAAAUGAAGAGAAUAUUAACUACAAAGGAUUUUUUAAUGGUGUAUUUUAUGAAGGCAAGACAAGACUGUGUAUUUCUAAGGCUCUUACUGUGCUGCUCACCGUAGUCUCAAACUCAUCUCUGAAACCAUGCUGCCUCUUCACAUCAUGAGAAGCUAAUAUACAGAUGCAAACCACAACACUCAGCUGAUGGUAUUGUGCCUUUAGCAUGUAAUGUGUGCUUCUGAUUCUGAAUGCCACCAUGCUGCUCACCGCGUUCAAACUCAUCACAGAAGCCAUGAUUCCACCCAGCAUCAUGCGAAGCUCACAACAGACACAGACCGCCACUUGCUGCUGAUGAUCCAAGAGUCUUGAAGAAAAAAGUUUAAUGAAGACCCAUUUAACAGCUGGUGAUACAAAGUCGCUCACUUUCUCUCCACAGGGCACUUGAGGAUGUCUAAGUUAAUUCUUGUGAAAGAGGAGACAGCCCUGAUGGGAAUUUAUUUCUGAACUGAUUUAUGGGUAUAACAGUAUGUUGGUAGGAGUCAUUUAUGUCAGUUUUUCUCAUAGAAGAAUAAUAGUAAUAGGUUUUUUUUGUUUUUUGUUUGUUUUAUAACCUAUCUCUAACUGCACUCAAAAUCAUUGUCACUUGGCAUUAUAAAGUAUGAAUUUUAUCACAUAGACUUAGCCGUAAAAUAAAAAAACAAACAAACAAAC